ACACCAAACUACCAAUACUAUCAUGCCGCCUGUUUCAGCGUUAGGGUUUGUGAUCAUCACAGCCAUUUUGUGUAGAGGUACCACUGCGUGUGUUGUUAGCAGAGAAGGUGAGGUGUUAGUACCAGAGAGUCAGGAGAAGGGGGACUUAUGAUAAAACCAAGAGACCUAUGGAUUAUGAGAGCUGGUUUGUUUGACCGUCAUCGAAUGAGGCAGAUAAACCCUGUGAUAAGUUGUACGAUGACUGCAUAAAAUGGUCUGUGGAUGUGGCCUAUUUAAAACCACCUACCAACGCCGAUGGAAGUUUGCAUUUCCCGGACGACUUUUUCAAUAACCCUGAGUCUGUGGAUAUUUCACCAACGCCAGUGUUUGUUAUAAACUAACGACGCCUGAAGAUUGCGAGCCGGAUUUUCCACCCAACAACAUGAUAAAGAAAAUGAACAUUAUAUCCAUCAAACUGUGCCGAAAUACAGAAGCCCUGAACACGCUUGUUCCCUGCUUGAAUGAUAAAGAAUUCUAUAAAGCAUUCUGGCGCGCAAUCGAAUAUGUGGGCCAUGAAAAGGAGAGCCGUUGCAAUGUGGCCAAGGAAGAACUUCGGCGGGUUUUGCGACUCUUCAAAGACAGAUGUGGUGGAGCUGAGUAUACUAAUCUGAAAACAGUGAUGGAGGAUUUUGGGGAGGAUAUACGUCCCGAAUUAGACGAUCCGAACUGUACUAUUGACGUCAACACCCUUACUCCCGACAAACGCAAGAGGGGCGUGUCCAGUGUGAUCAUCAAGAGAAUGGCUGAUUUACGGAUGUCGUAAUAAAACCAUGCUAUUAAACAACAUACAAUCUCAAG